GGGACAGCCCGCCUGGCGCGCGGGGCUCUGCGCGCUGCGACCCUCCCCGGCAGUCCCGCCCGCCUCUCCUCGCCCUCUCUCUGCCUGGCCUCCAACUUUGCCUCUCGCUAUCCUCUCCGCCGGCGCCCCCUUUCCCGGCGGUCCCCGGGAUGGUCCCCGGCACCCCGAGGACGCCGAGGUUACGGGAAGUUCGGGGACUGGCGGGAGAAGGGGUUUGGGGGUGGUCCGCGGCGAGGGGCGCGGGGUGCAUCUUCUCUUCCUUUUAUGGAGGGGGCCACUUCCUCGGAGAGUAUUGGCUUUUAAUUAAAACAAGCCCUACAAUUUUUACAUCGGGCUGCCACACUUGUGUAUCCCUUCUUCCUUGAAUUUAACCAGGAGUGAGCAGUGGACAGCUUCUUCCCUAUGAGAAGGAGGUGAAGCAGGACCUGAAAUCCCGUGCUCAGCUCCCACAUGCCCCGUGUCCAGGACAAGUCCUUUGCUGAAUCAGCGGCAGACACCACCCGGAGCCCUGCGGGAGCCUUUCCCUGUUCUUCCAGCAUGGAUCUGAAACUCCCUUCCCACUUUCUGCAGCCUCCCAGAGAUAGUUCAGGCUCCAGCCUCAUGUGAUAGCAUGAAGAGAAACUGGUUCCAACAGCUGUGUGCUCUGCUGCCCUCAUCCCAAACAACAGUUUAAAUGCACAAUUACGCUUUUCUCUAAGGCCCAAAAUAGGAUAGGAAAGAUCGUUUUGCUAUCCCUGAAUGCCUGUCACCCUUGUUUCGUAAGGUAAGAUUGGGAAGGGCUUGGCCAUUGCCCUUGCAGCUGAGAAACCAACUUUAGGAAUAAAGACACUCUCUCCAUGUCUGACAAAUGUCUGCCCAUCUGCUGGCAGGUCAGUCUCUCUCUCUGAGAUAUAGAUUAUAUAUGUAUACAUAUAUAUGUGUGUGUGUAUAUAUAAUACACAUAUAUACAUAUAUACACACACAUUCACAUAUAUAAUAUAUAUGUGUGUAUAUACUAUACACAUAUAUAAUCUAUAUAGAGAGAUAUAUAGGUUAUAUAUAUGUACACGUGUGUAUGCAUAUUAUUAUACAGACAUAUACAUACACACAUAUAUAUACACACAGACAUAUAUAUACACGCACACACAUAUAUAAUCUAAUUAUGGAGCUGCCCUUACAGCUCACGCAUGUCAUGCGCACACACGCAGGCACAGUCAUUAGCUUUCAGAGCUGACACAUCAGGAGGCUGCAUCCCCCGCCUCCUCAUGGCUGAACGAUGUCUGCUCCUGGGUGACGCGUCCACUAGGCUGCCUCCUACUCAGGUUCCCCCUCCCCAGCCCCUUGUCUCGGAGCAGUCUUACUCUUAUUUUGUUUGUGGUACUUUUUCUGCCCGUCGAUGAUCUUACUCAUCUGCUUAUGUAUUUAUUUUCUGUUCCUCCUCCAGCAGGAAGUCAGUCCCAGAAUAGUUGUUCUGCUCCCUCCCUUCUAAUAAGUGCUGCGCUGAGUGUGCUUGCUUUGCCAGAUGGUUAAAACAGAGCAGGGGAUAGAAGGACAGAUGUCUUCACCCUCAUGGAGUUCACCUUCCAGUAGGAGGAGGCGAUAGGCCGGGGUCUGCACAUGUGCGUGCUACAGCCUGUUCCACGAGACAGGAUUUCACCAUGUUGGCUAGGAUGGUCUCGAUCUCCUGACCUUGUGAUCCGCCCCUCCCUCAGCCUCCCAAAGUGCUGGGAUUACAGGCGUGAGCCACUGCACCCUGCCAGAAAACUCAUUCUUCUACUCCAUCCUACAGUUUUCCCUAAGAGAGAAACAAUAAAACGCCACCACGACCAAUGGCAAAAAGCUGGCACCCACUCCACGACUUUUCAUAUCUACACGUUUGUACAGCUUUAUUUUUAAGCAUUCUGAAAUUCUAUGCAGGAGAGACCCCAGCUAGGUUUAGGGAGUCCUAGGGUUUGUGGAGUAAAUGAAGUUUCUCCCUAGAAUUAGGGAGGGUAGAGACAGGCAGAGAACUGACAAUCCUAACAGCUGCUGUCCUCAGAGCCACUGUUUCUGAGAGCUGCUCGCUGAGUGCUUCUAGCGAGUUAAAUGGUGUUCGCCCAAAAGACCUGUUCACGUCCUGAUCCUGGGAACCUGUGGCUGUGAUCUUAUUUGGAAAAAGCUCUACAUUACGUCUUUGCAGAAGUAAUCAUGUUAAGGAUCUUGAGAGGACGUGACCCUGAAUUAUCCGGCUGUGCUUGACAUCCAAUGACUGGUGAUGUUGUAAGAGAAAGACGGAGGGAGAUGUAAGAUAUGAGAGAAGGCCACGCCGAGACUGGAGUGAUGUGGCCGUGAGCCGAGGAAUGCCUGGAGCCACCAGAAGCUGGCAAAGGCAGAAGGAGCCUCCUCUGGACCCUGUGGUGGGUACGCAGCCUGGCAGAUAUAUUCAUUUUGGACUUCUGGCCUCCAGGGCUGUGAGAGAAUACAUUUCUGCAGUUUUAAGCCACGCAAUCUGUGUCCCUGGGAAGCCCAAAUAGGGCGAGACCUUUUGCCAAGUGGUCUCCAAGUGUCACGUCAUCGAAUCCUUCUCCCGGGCUUGUGCCAUAGUCUUUCCACUUUAGAGAGGAGGAAACGGAGGCUCUGGGGCACAAAGCCAGUCAGUGGCGGGGCCUGACUUUCAACCCAGCCUGCAUGGGGUCAGAGAACCCACUUUCCCCGUGGGGCCUGCGGCCUAUGCUAAGGAUGCUUGUUCAUCUCUCCUGGGCCCGGGAGUGGUUCUUCUGGCCUAGAAGGCAAGAGAAGCCAGUCUUUCGGUUUCAAGGUUUCCCAUUAGUGGAGUCAAGCAAAAAUGGUGUGUUGCGCUUCUUCCUGAGCUCAGCCUGGGAGCACGGCCUUAACAUGCUCAGUGGAUCCCAAGACGGCAGCAUGGCGGUGCCAGCCUGGCAGCCUUAGCUCCUUGCAGCUGUGCUUGUGAAGGGAGCAGUGAGUGGCUUCCCUCUGUGACCACCUUGGGUCCUAAGUUUCACUGGGGCUGGGAUCCAUGCGUCUUGCAAUUGGCUAGGAAUUUCCCGGGCUUUCCCUCCCUUCCCUGUUCAGGGCACUGGGUGUGAGGCAUUGCAUCCGUUCUUCUGCUCACCUGCUUCCCCCUAAGAGUGUGAGCUGUAUAAAGGCAGGAACCAAACAGGAGCCUCCACGUGUUCCCAGUUCAAGGGCAGUGUCCCUUGUGUGUUUCUUCAAUAAUUCAGUGGAUGACUUAUUCUGCACGGACACUGCACACACUCGGCCCUGCCGUCUCCGGAGCUGGGAGGUGUGGAGCUGGCUCCUGACCUAUUUACACACUGAGGAGGGAUGUGGAAAACAGGAGGAGUCCCAGGGCUCCAAUGCAAAGAGGAGCCUCUUCAUUCCCUCUGCCGUGGCCGUGCAAGGGACAGCGCCUUGUGGGAUUGUGUCCUCCACCCAAUUAUCCUUAGCAUUAGUUUGCUAAGGAUAAUGGCCUCCAGCUCCACCCAUGUCCCUGCAAAGGACAUGAUCUCAUUCCUUUCUGUGUCUGCAUAGUAUUCCAUGGUGUAUAUGUACCGCGUUUUCUUUAUCGAGUCUAUCAUUGAUGGGCGCUUCAGUUGAUUCCAUGUCUUUGCUACUGUGACUCGUGCUGCAAUGAGCAUUCGCGUGCAUGCCUUUAUGGUGGAAUUAUUUCUAUUCCUUUGGGUGCAUACCCAGUCAUGGGAUUGCUGGGUCAAAUGGCAUUUCUGCCUCUAGGUCUUUAAGGAAUUGCCACGCUGUCUUCCACAAUGCAAGCAAGACGUUAUUGAAAGUGUAAAGGGGGCUGCUAAUUACGCUGGGGCAGGCGGGGCAAACCAGGACCCUGCCAGGCGAGUCUAGGCCAUGGCCCCACACCAGAAGAUGAGGGCUGGAGACUCCUGGAGAGGAAUCUGAGUGGCGAGACCACCUGCAUUCAUUAUGUGUCAACUCUGCCAGGUGACAGUCCCCAGUGAGCCCAUCAAACAUGAACCUAGGUGCUGUUGGGAAGGUCUUUGGAUGCCAUUAACAUCUACAAUCAGUUGGUUUUCAGUAGAGGAGAUUAUCCUCAAGAAUGUGGGCGGGCCUCAUCCAGUGAGCUGAAAGGCCUUGAGAGCAGAACUAGGAUUUUGGAGGAGGAUGAAGUGUUGCCUCCGGACCGCAGCGUCACCUCUUGCCUGGGAAUUUCCAGCUUCCUUUUCAGACUUCGGACUUGCCUCCAAGCUCCCUGAAUCUUUUCAUAUAUUUAUGUCCUAUUGCAGAUUGUGUUUCUCUGGCUGGACUGUAACUGAUGAGGAGGACUGAAAUUCCAGGCUUGGUUGUAUAGCAUAUAAGUGAGGUCAUUUGGGUCUGGGGAGCUGGGGGGGGGGUCCUUCAGCUGCAUGAGUGUGACCUGCACCAAGGUGCCUGGCUACCUGGGGCGAGGGGGCUGCCAUCUAGCCCACACCCCACUCCUAGGCCGUGCACCCUGGCAUGGGUCUAUGUCUGGCUCAAGGAAGGGUUCCCUCCUCCCUCCAAUGUGCACAGAGACCUUGAGAUCCCAUCCACCUAACCCUGUGCCCUCAGAAGCCUCCUCUGAGAGGGGGCACCUUUUCCUAAUUCUCACAAAGGCUAGUGGCUACCUUGUAGAUAGCCUUGGAUGUGUUAGGACACUUUUCUGAACAUCAGUUCCUUAUCUGUAAGAUGGGAGUUGUGUCCUCAAUGGGUAAUUAGAGAUUAUUCAUGGGAAAUCCUAUCACGGUAUCUACCACGGGGAGACUCACAAGUGCUGAUCUUUGCUGGUGUUGCUGCAUUUGUUAUUGAAUGCAUUCGUUAGGAGUCUUGUUAGUAAGUGACAAAAAUCCAACUCAAAUUGGCUUACACUAAACAAGUUUCCUGCAUCUGGGAGUAUAAAGGGUGACGCUUUGGCAGAGGCUGGCUCUGGAAAACGAGGACGCACAUUUGUGCCCCCACUUUCCUCUGUGCGGCGUCCUUCUCUUCAAGGCUUCCCCCAGUUUGGCAAACACGGCCCCAGCAAUGUCAAGCUGAGAGCACCUUUUAAGAAAGACCCUUCCUUCCAUGUGUUUUGGCAAAAGUCCCAUGAAGCAGUAUGAGUGGCCCGGUUUGGGUCAUGGGCUCACCCCUAAACCAGCCGCUCUGGAUGGAUUAGUUCCAAUUGGACAGGCCAUGGUCUUGGACUCUUUGGGUGAGUGUGGGAGGGUGUGGGAGGGAAGAUUCAUUGAACCUCAUCUCUACUACAUGGUACAGCUCCCUGGAAGAAAGAGGGGCUCCAUUACCAGAAGGAAACAAGGAAUUUUAUGGGGAACCACAUUAUCACUACCACAAUCUACCAUGCUAUACAUAAGAAAUGCACCUUGGUCUUAAUGCACGGUCUUGAGGGGGUGCAAGCUGAAUCCAAUUCCCAGCGUCUGGGUCAGUGUCCCUCAUGGGGGAGCUGCCUCACUUAAGAUUCCUUUGGAUAGGUAAGGUAGAACACCAAGCUGCGCGGGAUUAUGAAAAGAAAGGGAGAAAUUCACUGGCUCGCAGAAUUGAAAAGCUGAGAUCCAGCUGUACUUUUAAGCCUGAGCCAUUCUCCAGCUCCUGGCCCUGCCUCUCGCUGUCUUGGCUUCACCCUUCACAGACUGCCCUGCAAGGACCGAGGUGGAGUCUCAUUGGACUGGCUCAGGUCGUGUGCCUAGUUCUGAACCAUCCACUGUUUCCAGAGGGAUGGGGUAUCCUGAUUAGCCAGGAAGAAGUCAGACGUCUCUGAGCUAACUUUACUGAGAAUUGGGUAGAGGAGGUCCCCCAAAAGUAAAGUUGGGCACUGCAGUUCAGGAGAAGGGUGAUCACUGGUUGCUAAGCAACCAUAAAGUAGCCAGCAUCUCCUGUGGGUUGGGGUUUGCGCCUGUGAAUGGACAAGUGGCACUCGGAAAUUAAAUGCAGUGCAUCCAGUGCUCAAGCUCCUGGGCUUCGUCUGCUCCACACUUUUUCCUCUGCCCUUUGGGCUAAAGCCGUUGGGUUUGGGACAAGAGAAGGGGAGAGCUGGUACCUCUUCCCUUUUUUGCCCAGGAAAGUUGUUUCUCCAUCAUUUCAUGGCUCAAAGUCAUUAAAUCUGAGUAAUUCUUACAAACCAGAUCCAGGAAGAAUCUAGGAGUGGGCUCUCUGUAGAUUAGAAUGCUUCAGGCUGCAGGUAACAGAAGACUUGACUGGAAAUGCCUUCAACAGAGAAGGGAUGUAUCAUUUUCUAGAAGGAGAAAUUCUGCAGCUGGGACGGUUCCAGGGUUGGUUUCUUUGGAAACUCAGAACUUCAUCGAGGCUCUGGAUUCAUUUCUUCUUUCUGCUGUGCCAUUUCCAGCCUGUUGACUUGGCCUGGGCCAGCUGUCCUCUCACGCUCAUGAUUGCUGCCUCUGCUCCUGCCAUCACAUACACAAGCAGUGCCUGUUCAGUGGAACAAAAGGAAAUCAAAAAGAGGAAUCACAUUGUCCUGUGUCUCUACAAUGUUUUUUUUUUUUUAAAUCAUGAAAACCGUUCCCAGAAACCCCACAACAGACUUUCUGUUUCAUCUCAUUGGCCAGAACAGUAUCACAGGAGACUACUGGGAUUGGCAUAGACUAGCUAGGAUGCACCCUUAGAGCCCGUGGAGGACGGCAGACAUCUGAGCAGAGCUGGGCCUCAGCGGGCAGGGGAUGACAGGGACUGGCAGGCAUCCUUUUGGUCACUCAGAGGACUUCCUUCAAUCCACCCAGGGCUGGUUGGCAUCAUAAACUCAGGAUGGCAGCACUUGGAUGGCUGUGGUUGCUUUGUCUCCAGUGAGUGCCCCAGGAAACCAUCUCUUCUGGUCGCCACACGGCUAUUUGGUGAGCUGCUUGCUGGGGUGAGCUGCUGCUGAAUGGGUGUGGUUGAAACUGGAAGGGUGAGGUCCCAAAGCCACUGUCUGCCCCUGGGUGACUGCAACAGGUAGCCCCCCCACCAACUUCCAGGCAAAUCCGUGGGAAAUGGAACAAGGUAUCAAGGGGAACAGGGGAGUCAGGCCACCAGGGCCCCACUGAGGAAGGCACCUGUUGCACCAUAUUUUGACGUCUUGAAUGUGUAUCCACUGGCCCAGGGAGUGGCUUAAUUACCAGUGUAAUAGCAGGUCCACUUACAGCUUCAGGUUUCGUAGAGGAAAAAGCAUCAUUGCAAAAUGCUUUUGAUGUGGUUAAGCGGUGAGGCCACAGUGAAUUUUAAGUGCUUGGUAAAGCGCAUGGAAAAAGAAAAGCACAAGUCAUACUUGGUAAAGGACAUUUCCCUUCCUAGAUGCCAGGUGUGAAAGGAUGCCAGGAAUAUUCUCUGCUCUUUCCUCCUGCUUCCUGAAGGACUGAGUCCACACUAACUAUUAUCAAACAAACAAACUUCCAGGGGAAAAGACUGCAGAACCUAUACAUUCUUUAUAAUUGGAAUCACAGCUAUACAUUCUUUAUAAUCAGAAUAACAGCUCUACAUUCUUUAUCAUCGCAGCUAUACGUUCUUUAUAAUCAGAAAGUGCUUUCUGGCCAGGCACGGUGGCUCAUGCCUGUAAUCCCAGAACUUUGGGAGGCCAAGCCAGGUGGAUCACCAGAGUUUAGGAGUUCGAGACCCUCUGGCCAACAUGGCAAAACCCCGUCUCUACUAAAAAUACAAAAAAAAAAAAAAAAAGCCCAGUGUGGUAGCAGGCGCCGGUAAUCCCAGCUACUCAGGAGGCUGAGGCAGGAGAAUCGCUUGAACUCAGGAGGCGGAGGUUGCCGUGAGCCAAGAUCACAUCACUGCAUUCUAACCUGGGCAACAACAGUGAGACUCCAUCUCAAAAAAAGAGAAAAGUGCUUUCUGCUGUCUUACUGAGGUCCCUGCUGCUCUGCUAACUCCUUCUCAAGCUGAGAGGUAAAGCAGGUGCUUUACUUCUGUGUGGUCAUGUGUUGGGUGCCUGCUACAUCAAAACGCUCUUCCAUAUGCAGAGAAAAUCAGAAGGAAGGGAGCACUGAGUGGCUAGUGGGCAAAGGGGAGAGACAGCGAGACCAACACAUGCCACAGAGCUGCCUUUUAUAUGAAUUCAAAUUCUGGGAUUUCGGACUAGGGCAAUAUGACAAAUAUUCAUGGACUUUCACUAGACCAAAAUUGGAAUAAAUGCUACACACACCCCAAUUUUUAAAAUUAGUAAAAACAUGUGACUUUAAAGCAGGCUGCCUACGUUGAUAAUAAACCACAUUUUCCCUAACGUGAAAAGUCAGUGCCAUUCGAGCUUGUCGACAGAAAUACAGAACAAUUCCUCAGUGAUGUGUGCUUCUUUGCAAAAAUCAGCCUUGAAUUAUGCAGGUUUGAAAUAGGCAAAAUCUUCCUAAACAAAUACUUUGCAUACAAUACCUCCAACCUCUAUUCCAGUAUAAUGUUUAAACUCUGUGCUAGAUGUCCACUUAGUUCUUUCAUUGAUGUGAAGCUAUUUCAUUAGGAGUCAGCAACUAUGCCCUGUGAUCUGACCCAAUGCCUGUUUUUGUAAAUAAAGUUUUAUUGGCACACAGCCACACCCAUUCAUUUACAAUUCGCAGAUGGUCACUUUCUCACUCCAAUGGAGUGGUGGCCACAGAAACCGUCUGGCCCAGAUGUCUAAAACAUUUAUUAUCUGGAUCUUUAUAGGAAAUGUUUGCUGGCUUUAGAGCGAGGAGUUUCAUCACUAGGAUAAGCGACUCCAUUUUCUUUUACCUAUGGAGAUUUCUCAGCCUUGCUGCACCUUAUUGCUAUAACUCUGUGACAUAUUGGUGGCCUCUACGCCACCUCUCAGCUGUCUGGCCUGAGAGCUCUGUCCAGACGGAUUGACAGAGGCCAGUACCUGGUGAAGAAGGCAGCAUCUGAGAGGAGCCAGGGAUGCAUUCAUUCACCCUUUCAUUCAGUCAUUCAGCGAGGGUGCAGCACGCAUCAGCUCUGUGCAGGCACUGUGUUAGGAACUGCAGAUACAGCCACGGCCAGUAGAAAGGGCACCUGUUCUCCUUUUGUUUGUUUUUGUUUUUGUUUUUGAGACAGAGCCUCACUCUGUCUCCCAGGCUGGAGUGCAGUGGCACAAUCUAGGCUCACUGCAACCUCCGCCUCCCAGGUUCAAGCAGUUCUCCCACCCCAACCUCCCAAAGGCUGGGAUUACAGGCAUGAAUCAUCGCGCUCAGCUGGCACCUGUUCUCACUAGGAUAGAUAUCAUAGCGGGGGAGACGUUGGAUGGACAAAUUGGCAAGGGGGAUAAGUUCAGGCACUGCCGUGUGCUGUGGAGAUAAUAAAAGGAAAGUGGGACAGACAGUGGGGCGUGGGGAGGCUGCCUGCUUAGCUGAGGCGGUCAGGGCUGGCUCUGAGGAGGUGACGCAUCCCUGAGAGCUGAAGGAGGAGAGCAAGGCAGCCAGGCAAAGGUCUGGCCGUGAGGCUCUGACUGUGCCUUCGUGCUGUUGUUCUUUGUCGAUGCACUCACCCAGGAAGCACUUGUACCCCGUCAUGGCGCUAGAAUAUUAACAAAUCAUGGUCCCUGUCACCAUGCAGGAAUUCAGAGUUGGCCUAACAGAAUGCUUAGAUUUCUUGGGUUUGAAUCCUGGCUUCACUGCUCAGGAGCUGUGUGACUGUAGACAAGUUGAUGAGCCUCUCUGAGUCUUGGUUUCCUUAACAGCAAAAGGGGGAUAAUAAUUGUAGCUGCGUUAUAAGGUUGUUAUGAGGACUCUGUGAACAACAGCACGUAAAGGCUAUAAUACCCCACCACAUACACAGGUUUUGCACCACAGCCCACAGGGGGCAGUUCACGUAGACCUCAGAGGUACAGUGACAGUGCAGAGCACGCGCUCAGAUAACCCUGACUCAGAGGCGUAGAGGGAGUGCAUGUGAGCCAAGCCCAGGACUGCACAGCAGGUGUUCCAGUGGAAGGUCUAGAACGCAAGGGGGGAUUCGUUUUGCUGUGUGGGGCAGGAAAAGGUUAUUUGGGAAGAACUCCCAGAAGAGGCAACAUUUAACAGUCUGUAGAUAGGUGGUUAGGAAUUCCUCAGCCUGAGCAAAGGUGGUGGGGGUGCCAGGUGAGGGAACGGUAUGCACAAAGGCGCGGUGUCUUGAAGCUUCGUGGCACCCCUAGGGAGGGAAGAGGAUCUGCAGGGGUGCCAUUGGUGUGUGGCAAGAUCAGAUGCGGGUCCCAAAGAUUACACUGGUAGCUUUGGGAGGAGAGGAGGUGAAGGUGGAGAGAAGGCCGAGAAGCCACGUGGGUAUCACUGAAACAGUUCUGGCCAACAAGGGUGAUGGCAACGACUUUGGAAAUGAAGAAAGAAAAGAAUGAUGAAGAAAAAAAGAUGCAUCAAUCCAGUCGGGCCAGCCCUGCUCAGAGCCUGCUGCAAACAGCCCUGUUUGUGUUGGCUGGUCUGUGCCUCUAUUGGUCAGGGUAACUCACCUGCAUUUAGCUUGAAGCAAGAACCUAAGGCCAAGUCCUUUUUUCUGACCUCUAAUGCAAAUGCCCCAUAUAGAUGUAGCAUUUUCUGACUUUCCUUAGAAGCUAGAAUGAUGCUGGGCCCAAAUCUGUACCCUUGGAUGUUUCGAACUCUCAGCCAUGGGCCCUUCACCAAAACUGUAAUGUUAAUCAACUUCGCACUUCCAACAUCCCUCUCCUUUAAGACCCCCACUAAUCAGCGAGUUCUCCCAGCAUGGCCAGAAGUCCCAGGCAUUCAAGGGACAUUUGAAAAUGUUCUCCACCUGGUAGGUGAGAUUCAGGUUUGGUGAAUGGAGUUCUGGUGUGAGCCGGGUGCCCCGCCUGCUGGAUCUGAUGGUAUCUCUGGCUGGCCUGUGUGAUGGCCCCGGCAGUCGCUCAGCACCUGAAAUGUGGCCGGCCCAAAUGGAGAUGCGAGGCGGGGAGAAACAGUAAUCUUCAUAUGGAUCCUGCAUUGAAAUGAGCAUCGUUUGGAUCAUCGAGUUAAAUAAAAUGUUAUCACAAUUCAUUUUACAUGCUUCUCUUUACUUUUUUUUUUUUUUUUUUUUUGAAACAGAGUCUCACUCUGUCGCCCAGGCUGGAGUGCAGUGGCACCAUCUCGGCUCACUGCAAGCUCCGCCUCCCGGGUUCAUGCCAUCCUCCUGCCUCAGACUCCCGAGUACCUGGGACUACAGGCGCCCGCCACCAUGCCCGGCUAAUUUUUUUGUAUUUUUAGUAGAGACGGGGUUUCACUGUGUUAGCCAGGAUGGUCUCGAUCUCCUGACCUCAUGAUCCGCCCGCCUCAGCCUCCCAAAGUGCUGGGAUUAUAGGCGUGAGCCACCGCUUCCGGCCGCUUCUCUUUACUUUUUAAAAGUAGCUACCAGAAAAUUUAAAAUCACAUUUGUGGUUCACAUUAUAUUUCUAGUAGACUGUGCUGAUCUAGAUAAAUGGUCCAUAUUCUUUUUUUCUUUUUCUUUGAGAUGGAGUCUCACUCUGUAGCCCAAGCUAGAGUGCAGUGGCGCAAUCUCGGCUCACUGCAACCUCUGCCUCCCGGGCUCAAGUGAUUCUCAUGCCUCAUCCUCCCGAGUAGCUGGUAUUACAGGCGCACACCACCAUGCGCACCCAAUUUUUUGUAUUUUAGUAGAGACGGGGUUUCACCGUGUUACCCAGAGUGGACUCGAACUCCUGAGCUCAGGCCAUCAGCCUCCCAAAGUGCUGGGAUUACAGACAUGAGCCACUGUGCCCGGCCCCAUAUUCAUUUCUUUAGGACUGAAUCUACUCCACACCUGCUGCAUUUGGACUGUGCAGUGUUUUAAAGACAUUUGAAUCUGUCAGUGAACUUUAAAACAUCGUCAUAUUUCACAUGAAAACCAGAGCUUUCAGCUUCUCAAAAAAUAUCCUUCUGGGCAUAGGUCUGGCUCAGGCGAGUAGCCACCGUGUGCUGUAGACAGGACAUCUGCUGGGAUCCAGUUCUUCAUGAGCCCCGUUCUACUGUCCCGACCGUCCUUCUGUGGCUGGCACGGCUGCCUGGUAGAGAGCAGGUGAUGUCUGAUCCAGACACCAGACUUGGGAGGAAACUUCCCGGUUCAUCCAGAAUAACCCCUGCUUCUGGGUUAGACAACGAGACAAGAGAGUCUGGAUGCUAGCCCAAUUACAGAACUGAGAAAGUGAAGUCUCUUGGCCUCAGUUUCCCUGUGUGCAAGGAGCAUAAUUAUAUGUACAGUCAGGAGUUGUUCAGCCUAAUGACUGCUUGCGAAGCCCCGUGAGAUGACUCGAUUAGGACCUCUGGAAAGGGUUCUCACCGGGACUUGGCCUUUGGUUCUCGCUCCAAGCUAAAUGCAGGUGAGUCACCCUGGCUGAUGGAGGCACGGAUCGGCCAACACAAACAGGCCUGUUUGCAGCAGGCUCCGAGCAGGGUUGGCCCCACUGGAUUGACACAGGGCUGUGUGGCUCGUCUAUGUCUCUAAACCAUGAAAGCGUUUUCCCUGCAGGUGCCCCGGCCCAGGGUAGCUGAGGGUGCUGCAGAGAAGGGCGCCGCCUCUAGCUUCUGAUGUCUAACGCAAAUGCUCCAUAUACAUGUGGUGUUUUCUGACUUUCCUUAGAAGCAAUGAUGAUGCCGGGCCCAAAUCUCCACCCUUGGAUGUUUAAAACUCACUCAGCCAUGGGCACUUCACCAAAACAGUAGUAGUAAUGAUAAUAAACUUCCCACUUCCAACAUCCCUCUCCUUUGAAAUCCCACUAAGCAGCGAGGUCUCCCAGCAUGGCCAGAUGACCAGACAAGGCUUAUCACACCCAGAACCACUUAGCACCUUCCAGAGGGAACGGAGCCCUAGCUGGAUUGAAGCUGCAGGGGAAAGGGCGGGAGAUCCCACGCUGAUGUUCCCAGGCCCAGGCAGGCAGCUCCGAUUUGCUGGUCUUGCCCCCAGAUCCUGUUCCAUUUGAAAGAUGACGCAGGAAGGAGACAAGAUCACUCCCUUCUCCAGGGCGCUGCUUGGGUGAAGCCUGGGCUGUCCUGUGGGUGUUCUUUGUUUCUGUCUGGAGAAGACAGGACCGUGUACCACGGGUGAGGGUGCUUUCCAACUCUGCAGAGACUGGCAUUCUAACACAAAGCAUGCCCCUCUUACCACAGCACUGCAAGGCUGGCACCACCUGCAGCAGACAGCGCCUUGACAGGGGACCGAGGGGCCCUUUCUUACCGUGGAGGACAUUACAGUAGUCGCGGGAUUUGCACGGAUAGAGGGAGGGAGGUGUCUGGGUAAGCCGUGGAGGUCCUCCUUCCUCACUGCCGUGCCCCCGAGGACACACAGGAAAUGGCUCUGCUGACCCCUGGGCCAAUAUUAAAGCUGGGAACAAGAAGGCAGGACUCUAGGGCUCAGGUGAGCUCACCUAGAACAGCUUAUACAACAGGUCCCUGCUCAGGUCCUUCCAAAGCCACCUGUGGCAAAGCAGUGGAUGAUGGCUGUAACCAUGGGUGGAGGGUGGCGUGAGUUAGUGCCGCCACUAUAUGUCAUGAAAAGCCUGUCCUAGGACACCAGGAUAGAGGAGAUUCUGCUUCCAGCCCGGUGAAGCUCCCCACUGAGCUCCCAGCCCUGCCCUCUCUCUGGAACCAGCCUUGGCUGCAUCUGCCCUGACCCCCAUCUUCCCUUGAACUUCUGUGAUCUGCAUCCCAGGGUCAGGCGGUGGAGUGUGGCCUGACUUUUCUGUUCCGUUUGACUUGGACAUCGGAAGACAUUGCCUCUUUAAAGACACAAAAUAUCUCUCUUCUUUUUUUGGUGGGGAGAGGGAGUGGUCUGCAUCUCUCUGUGGAGUCUAGAGCAGGGUUGGGUAGAGAUGCAGCCCAGGGAUGAAAGACAGAUGGCCUGGGCGUGCAGGCACUGGCUGCCUCUCUUGUCAUUUAUGUUAGUUAUGGUGACACCAAUUAUGACCCAGCACUUACCGGUGUUCUCAUUAUAUAACCCUACCCGCGCUUCCCAGGGGUUGAUCCUGUCAUUAAUGCUCCCAUU
rnacentral:lncRNA from 1 species